GACGAACGCUGGCGGCGUGCUUAACACAUGCCAGUCGAACGGAAAGGCCCUGCUUUUGUGGGGUGCUCGAGUGGCGAACGGGUGAGUAACACGUGAGUAACCUGCCCUUGACUUUGGGAUAACUUCAGGAAACUGGGGCUAAUACCGGAUAGGAGCUCCUGCUGCAUGGUGGGGGUUGGAAAGUUUCGGCGGUUGGGGAUGGACUCGCGGCUUAUCAGCUUGUUGGUGGGGUAGUGGCUUACCAAGGCUUUGACGGGUAGCCGGCCUGAGAGGGUGACCGGCGACAUUGGGACUGAGAUACGGCCCAGACUCCUACGGGAGGCAGCAGUGGGGAAUAUUGCACAAUGGGCGGAAGCCUGAUGCAGCAACGCCGGGUGCGGGAUGACGGCCUUCGGGUUGUAAACCGCUUUCGCCUGUGACGAAGCGUGAGUGACGGUAAUGGGUAAAGAAGCACCGGCUAACUACGUG
rnacentral:rRNA from 1 species